UGGAGGGUUUUCAAAGACGGGUGAGGCCGAGAAUCCUAAAAAAGUUUCAGUGUACCUUCACCGUGUGUAGAAUUGGAAUCUUUCUUACUUUGGAAGCUCUCGUUGGCUUCUGGAUUGAUGGAGCGGAUAUGAGGAUAAAAUGAAAAGGGGAGAGAAAAGAAAAAAGGAAGAGGAAAUGUGAGCGACAUUCACCCUGUGAGCCGAUGCCAUAAACUGAAGCAGCAUGGGCUAAUGGAUAGAGCACUGGCCUGGGAGUCGGAAGACCUGUGUUCG